UACGAAGGGGGCGAGCGUUGUUCGGAAUUACUGGGCGUAAAGGGCUCGUAGGUGGCCAACUAAGUCAGACGUGAAAUCCCUCGGCUUAACCGGGGAACUGCGUCCGAUACUGGAUGGCUUGAGUUCGGGAGAGGGAUGCGGAAUUCCAGGUGUAGCGGUGAAAUGCGUAGAUAUCUGGAGGAACACCGGUGGCGAAGGCGGCAUCCUGGACCGACACUGACACUGAGGAGCGAAAGCCAGGGGAGCAAACGGG
rnacentral:rRNA from 1 species